CCUGCGCAACGAACUCGUUUUGAUACUAGUGAGUUUUUAUUUUAUUUAUUAGUUAUAAUGAUCUGAUUGAAAUGUAAUAUACACAAGUAUUAACCCAUGAUAUUCUAAUGAGAAAAUGUUAUAGAUUGGGUUCUCUUUUUUUGAUGUUGGUUAUAUAGAAAUAUGUACGUAAAUGUCAUCGUCGUUAGUUUCGCUGUUGCAUAAUAAUAUUAUUGGAUAUCUUUGAUUCUUGCAGAAUAAUGAAAGCAUAUUUAAUUCAGAUUAUCAGACUCAAUCGGAUACCAGUACAAAUAAUAUGGAAAAUGAAGAUACAAUACAUGGAAGACGAAUUAUAGAUUUUAGUUUUUUUAUAAAUCAAUUACUUAUACCUAAUUGAUAAACAUGGUGAAAAGUUUGGUUGUCGAUUAAAUAAUUUAAAAAUUGUAAACGA